rnacentral:rRNA from 1 species
AGCGUACACGGUGGAUGCCCUGGCAGUCAGAGGCGAUGAAGGACGUGCUAAUCUGCGAUAAGCGUCGGUAAGGUGAUAUGAACCGUUAUAACCGGCGAUUUCCGAAUGGGGAAACCCAGUGUGAUUCGUCACACUAUCAUUAACUGAAUCCAUAGGUUAAUGAGGCGAACCGGGGGAACUGAAACAUCUAAGUACCCCGAGGAAAAGAAAUCAACCGAGAUUCCCCCAGUAGCGGCGAGCGAACGGGGAGCAGCCCAGAGCCUGAAUCAGUGUGUGUGUUAGUGGAAGCGUCUGGAAAGGCGCGCGAUACAGGGUGACAGCCCCGUACACAAAAAUGCACAUGCUGUGAGCUCGAUGAGUAGGGCGGGACACGUGGUAUCCUGUCUGAAUAUGGGGGGACCAUCCUCCAAGGCUAAAUACUCCUGACUGACCGAUAGUGAACCAGUACCGUGAGGGAAAGGCGAAAAGAACCCCGGCGAGGGGAGUGAAAAAGAACCUGAAACCGUGUACGUACAAGCAGUGGGAGCACGCUUAGGCGUGUGACUGCGUACCUUUUGUAUAAUGGGUCAGCGACUUAUAUUCUGUAGCAAGGUUAACCGAAUAGGGGAGCCGAAGGGAAACCGAGUCUUAACUGGGCGUUAAGUUGCAGGGUAUAGACCCGAAACCCGGUGAUCUAGCCAUGGGCAGGUUGAAGGUUGGGUAACACUAACUGGAGGACCGAACCGACUAAUGUUGAAAAAUUAGCGGAUGACUUGUGGCUGGGGGUGAAAGGCCAAUCAAACCGGGAGAUAGCUGGUUCUCCCCGAAAGCUAUUUAGGUAGCGCCUCGUGAAUUCAUCUCCGGGGGUAGAGCACUGUUUCGGCAAGGGGGUCAUCCCGACUUACCAACCCGAUGCAAACUGCGAAUACCGGAGAAUGUUAUCACGGGAGACACACGGCGGGUGCUAACGUCCGUCGUGAAGAGGGAAACAACCCAGACCGCCAGCUAAGGUCCCAAAGUCAUGGUUAAGUGGGAAACGAUGUGGGAAGGCCCAGACAGCCAGGAUGUUGGCUUAGAAGCAGCCAUCAUUUAAAGAAAGCGUAAUAGCUCACUGGUCGAGUCGGCCUGCGCGGAAGAUGUAACGGGGCUAAACCAUGCACCGAAGCUGCGGCAGCGACACUGUGUGUUGUUGGGUAGGGGAGCGUUCUGUAAGCCUGUGAAGGUGUGCUGUGAGGCAUGCUGGAGGUAUCAGAAGUGCGAAUGCUGACAUAAGUAACGAUAAAGCGGGUGAAAAGCCCGCUCGCCGGAAGACCAAGGGUUCCUGUCCAACGUUAAUCGGGGCAGGGUGAGUCGACCCCUAAGGCGAGGCCGAAAGGCGUAGUCGAUGGGAAACAGGUUAAUAUUCCUGUACUUGGUGUUACUGCGAAGGGGGGACGGAGAAGGCUAUGUUGGCCGGGCGACGGUUGUCCCGGUUUAAGCGUGUAGGCUGGUUUUCCAGGCAAAUCCGGAAAAUCAAGGCUGAGGCGUGAUGACGAGGCACUACGGUGCUGAAGCAACAAAUGCCCUGCUUCCAGGAAAAGCCUCUAAGCAUCAGGUAACAUCAAAUCGUACCCCAAACCGACACAGGUGGUCAGGUAGAGAAUACCAAGGCGCUUGAGAGAACUCGGGUGAAGGAACUAGGCAAAAUGGUGCCGUAACUUCGGGAGAAGGCACGCUGAUAUGUAGGUGAAGUCCCUCGCGGAUGGAGCUGAAAUCAGUCGAAGAUACCAGCUGGCUGCAACUGUUUAUUAAAAACACAGCACUGUGCAAACACGAAAGUGGACGUAUACGGUGUGACGCCUGCCCGGUGCCGGAAGGUUAAUUGAUGGGGUCAGCGCAAGCGAAGCUCUUGAUCGAAGCCCCGGUAAACGGCGGCCGUAACUAUAACGGUCCUAAGGUAGCGAAAUUCCUUGUCGGGUAAGUUCCGACCUGCACGAAUGGCGUAAUGAUGGCCAGGCUGUCUCCACCCGAGACUCAGUGAAAUUGAACUCGCUGUGAAGAUGCAGUGUACCCGCGGCAAGACGGAAAGACCCCGUGAACCUUUACUAUAGCUUGACACUGAACAUUGAGCCUUGAUGUGUAGGAUAGGUGGGAGGCUUAGAAGUGUGGACGCCAGUCUGCAUGGAGCCGACCUUGAAAUACCACCCUUUAAUGUUUGAUGUUCUAACGUUGACCCGUAAUCCGGGUUGCGGACAGUGUCUGGUGGGUAGUUUGACUGGGGCGGUCUCCUCCUAAAGAGUAACGGAGGAGCACGAAGGUUGGCUAAUCCUGGUCGGACAUCAGGAGGUUAGUGCAAUGGCAUAAGCCAGCUUGACUGCGAGCGUGACGGCGCGAGCAGGUGCGAAAGCAGGUCAUAGUGAUCCGGUGGUUCUGAAUGGAAGGGCCAUCGCUCAACGGAUAAAAGGUACUCCGGGGAUAACAGGCUGAUACCGCCCAAGAGUUCAUAUCGACGGCGGUGUUUGGCACCUCGAUGUCGGCUCAUCACAUCCUGGGGCUGAAGUAGGUCCCAAGGGUAUGGCUGUUCGCCAUUUAAAGUGGUACGCGAGCUGGGUUUAGAACGUCGUGAGACAGUUCGGUCCCUAUCUGCCGUGGGCGCUGGAGAACUGAGGGGGGCUGCUCCUAGUACGAGAGGACCGGAGUGGACGCAUCACUGGUGUUCGGGUUGUCAUGCCAAUGGCACUGCCCGGUAGCUAAAUGCGGAAGAGAUAAGUGCUGAAAGCAUCUAAGCACGAAACUUGCCCCGAGAUGAGUUCUCCCUGACUCCUUGA